rnacentral:rRNA from 1 species
AGCAGCCGCGGUAAUUCCAGCUCCAAUAGCGUAUAUUAAAGUUGUUGCAGUUAAAAAGCUCGUAGUUGAAUUUCGGGACCAAUUUGUUGGUUGUGCCUCGGUACGUACUGGUAUUAUUGGUUUCUCCCUUCUGAAGAACCUCGAUGCCAUUAAUUUGGUGUCGUGGGGAAUCAGGACUGUUACUUUGAAAAAUUAGAGUGUUUAAAGCAAGCAUACGCUUGAAUACAUUAGCAUGGAAUAAUGAAAUAGGACGUUUGAUUCUAUUUUGUUGGUUUCUAGGAUCGACGUAAUGAUUAAUAGGGAUAGUUGGGGGCAUUAGUACUCAAUUGUCAGAGGUGAAAUUCUUGGAUUUAUUGAAGACUAACUACUGCGAAAGCAUUUGCCAAGGAUGUUUUCAUUAAUCAAGAACGAAAGUUAGGGGAUCGAAGGCGAUCAGAUACCGUCGUAGUCCUAACCAUAAACUAUGCCGACUAGGGAUCGGAUGAUGUUAAUUUUUAAUGUACUCAUUCGGCGCCUUACG